UUAACAACUAUUAAAAAUAUCAACGCCUACAUGUAUUGGUGUAACAUUUCACGUAAAAUGGUACGAAAUAUGCAUCUUAUACAAAUUGAUGUUGGGGACACAUUUUAUCGUACGAAAUAACAGUCUAGUAAUAAUUCGUCUAAGCUCGAUUCACAAGUCU